rnacentral:rRNA from 1 species
AUUGAACGCUGGCGGCAGGCCUAACACAUGCAAGUCGAGCGGAUGAAGGGAGCUUGCUCCUGGAUUCAGCGGCGGACGGGUGAGUAAUGCCUAGGAAUCUGCCUGGUAGUGGGGGAUAACGUCCGGAAACGGGCGCUAAUACCGCAUACGUCCUGAGGGAGAAAGUGGGGGAUCUUCGGACCUCACGCUAUCAGAUGAGCCUAGGUCGGAUUAGCUAGUUGGUGGGGUAAAGGCCUACCAAGGCGACGAUCCGUAACUGGUCUGAGAGGAUGAUCAGUCACACUGGAACUGAGACACGGUCCGGACUCCUACGGGAGGCAGCAGUGGGGAAUAUUGGACAAUGGGCGAAAGCCUGAUCCAGCCAUGCCGCGUGUGUGAAGAAGGUCUUCGGAUUGUAAAGCACUUUAAGUUGGGAGGAAGGGCAGUAAGUUAAUACCUUGCUGUUUUGACGUUACCAACAGAAUAAGCACCGGCUAACUUCGUGCCAGCAGCCGCGGUAAUACGAAGGGUGCAAGCGUUAAUCGGAAUUACUGGGCGUAAAGCGCGCGUAGGUGGUUCAGCAAGUUGGAUGUGAAAUCCCCGGGCUCAACCUGGGAACUGCAUCCAAAACUACUGAGCUAGAGUACGGUAGAGGGUGGUGGAAUUUCCUGUGUAGCGGUGAAAUGCGUAGAUAUAGGAAGGAACACCAGUGGCGAAGGCGACCACCUGGACUGAUACUGACACUGAGGUGCGAAAGCGUGGGGAGCAAACAGGAUUAGAUACCCUGGUAGUCCACGCCGUAAACGAUGUCGACUAGCCGUUGGGAUCCUUGAGAUCUUAGUGGCGCAGCUAACGCGAUAAGUCGACCGCCUGGGGAGUACGGCCGCAAGGUUAAAACUCAAAUGAAUUGACGGGGGCCCGCACAAGCGGUGGAGCAUGUGGUUUAAUUCGAAGCAACGCGAAGAACCUUACCUGGCCUUGACAUGCUGAGAACUUUCCAGAGAUGGAUUGGUGCCUUCGGGAACUCAGACACAGGUGCUGCACGGCUGUCGUCAGCUCGUGUCGUGAGAUGUUGGGUUAAGUCCCGUAACGAGCGCAACCCUUGUCCUUAGUUACCAGCGCCUCGGGUGGGCACUCUAAGGAGACUGCCGGUGACAAACCGGAGGAAGGAGGGGAUGACGUCAAGUCAUCAUGGCCCUUACGGCCAGGGCUACACACGUGCUACAAUGGUCGGUACAAAGGGUUGCCAAGCCCCGAGGUGGAGCUAAUCCCAUAAAACCGAUCGUAGUCCGGAUCGCAGUCUGCAACUCGACUGCGUGAAGUCGGAAUCGCUAGUAAUCGUGAAUCAGAAUGUCACGGUGAAUACGUUUCCGGGCCU